GAUGAACGCUAGCUACAGGCUUAACACAUGCAAGUCGAGGGGAAACGGCAUCGAAAGCUUGCUUUUGAUGGGCGUCGACCGGCGCACGGGUGAGUAACGCGUAUCCAACCUGCCCAUCACUUGGGAAUAACCUUGCGAAAGUAAGACUAAUGCCCAAUGACAUCCCACGAAGGCAUCCGAAUGGGAUUAAAGAUUUAUCGGUGAUGGAUGGGGAUGCGUCUGAUUAGCUUGUUGGCGGGGUGACGGCCCACCAAGGCAACGAUCAGUAGGGGUUCUGAGAGGAAGGUCCCCCACAUUGGAACUGAGACACGGUCCAAACUCCUACGGGAGGCAGCAGUGAGGAAUAUUGGUCAAUGGGCGAGAGCCUGAACCAGCCAAGUAGCGUGCAGGAUGACGGCCCUAUGGGUUGUAAACCGCUUUUAUAAGGGAAUAAAGUGGGUCACGUGUGACUUUUUGCAUGUACCUUAUGAAUAAGGACCGGCUAAUUCCGUG
rnacentral:rRNA from 1 species